rnacentral:rRNA from 1 species
GAUGAACGCUGGCGGCGUGCUUAACACAUGCAAGUCGAACGAAGCACUCUAUUUGAUUUUCUUCGGAAAUGAAGAUUUUGUGACUGAGUGGCGGACGGGUGAGUAACGCGUGGGUAACCUGCCUCAUACAGGGGGAUAACAGUUGGAAACGACUGCUAAUACCGCAUAAGCGCACAGGAUCGCAUGAUCUGGUGCGAAAAACUCCGGUGGUAUGAGAUGGACCCGCGUCUGAUUAGCCAGUUGGCAGGGUAACGGCCUACCAAAGCGACGAUCAGUAGCCGACCUGAGAGGGUGACCGGCCACAUUGGGACUGAGACACGGCCCAAACUCCUACGGGAGGCAGCAGUGGGGAAUAUUGCACAAUGGGGGAAACCCUGAUGCAGCGACGCCGCGUGAGCGAAGAAGUAUUUCGGUAUGUAAAGCUCUAUCAGCAGGGAAGAAG